rnacentral:rRNA from 1 species
UACGAAGGGGGCUAGCGUUGCUCGGAAUUACUGGGCGUAAAGCGCACGUAGGCGGCUUUGUAAGUUAGAGGUGAAAGCCCAGGGCUUAACCCUGGAAUUGCCUUUAAGACUGCAUCGCUAGAAUCGUGGAGAGGUGAGUGGAAUUCCGAGUGUAGAGGUGAAAUUCGUAGAUAUUCGGAAGAACACCAGUGGCGAAGGCGACUUACUGGACACAUAUUGACGCUGAGGUGCGAAAGCGUGGGGAGCAAACAGG